rnacentral:miRNA from 2 species
UUUCCUCAUAUUCAUUCAGGAGUG